UACCUGGUUGAUCCUGCCAGUAGUCAUAUGCUUGUCUCAAAGAUUAAGCCAAGCAAGUCUAAGUACGAGCUCUCGUACA
rnacentral:ncRNA from 1 species